CUCGGCUCAGAACCAAAUCCACAAACCCAGUUGGUGAUGCGGAGGGGCAUACCGCGGAGUAGUGCACCGAACGCCCGGCGCUGCAGACCCUGUUCCGGCCACCUGGCUGGAUCCCCGCCAGCCUGCGCUCUGCGAGGGGCGGACAGAGGCCUUUCGGACCCCGCAGAGCUGCGAGGAGACAAAAGGCUUGAGGCCGAGGUUCUGUCUGGAGUCGCAUCUGCGCACUUGGAGGCAACCGCGCCAGGUCGGGGGUCUUGGCGAAAGGACUCCACUUCCCAGAGGGCUCGGGGACACCGGUGCCUAUCCUUGGGGACCACGCUGACUGUCCUCGGGGAGUGGCUGCAGAGCCAGGGGAGAGAACUGCGGGCUUUCACUGUCAGCCCUAAAAUGGAGAUAAUUCCCCACCUGUUAGGUCUGCUUUCUGAAUAAAAGUAGAAGCUGCCGUUUUAAA